GCCUGGCUGGCUCAGUUGGUGGAGCAGGAGGCUCUUGAUCUCAGGGUUGUGAGUUCAAGCCCCACGUUGGGUG
rnacentral:tRNA from 1 species